rnacentral:rRNA from 1 species
UACGUAGGGUGCAAGCGUUGUCCGGAAUUAUUGGGCGUAAAGAGCUUGUAGGCGGUUUGUCGCGUCUGCUGUGAAAUUUCGGGGCUCAACCCCGAACUUGCAGUGGGUACGGGCAGACUAGAGUGUGGUAGGGGAGACUGGAAUUCCUGGUGUAGCGGUGAAAUGCGCAGAUAUCAGGAGGAACACCGGUGGCGAAGGCGGGUCUCUGGGCAGUAACUGACGCUGAGGAGCGAAAGCAUGGGGAGCGAACAGG